rnacentral:rRNA from 1 species
GGACGAACGCUGGCGGCGUGCUUAACACAUGCAAGUCGAGCGGUAAGGCCCUUUCGGGGGUACACGAGCGGCGAACGGGUGAGUAACACGUGGGUGACCUGCCCUCAGCUCUGGGAUAAGCCUGGGAAACCGGGUCUAAUACUGGAUAUGACUCCAUGACGCAUGUUGUGGGGUGGAAAGCCUUGUGCGGCUGAGGAUGGGCCCGCGGCCUAUCAGUCUUGUUGGUGGGGUGANGGCCUACCAAGGCGACGACGGGUAGCCGGCCUGAGAGGGCGACCGGCCACACUGGGACUGAGACACGGCCCAGACUCCUACGGGAGGCAGCAGGUGGGGAAUCUUGCGCAAUGGGCGAAAGCCUGACGCAGCGACGCCGCGUGAGGGAUGACGGCCUC